GCUGUGUUGGACAGUAGGGAGUCAAGUGGUCUUGAAAACCAUCGUCCUUUGCGGGAUUGUAGGUUCGAGUCCUACACACAGCGCCA
rnacentral:tRNA from 1 species